rnacentral:rRNA from 1 species
UACGUAGGUGGCUAGCGUUGUCCGGAUUUACUGGGCGUAAAGAGCGCGCAGGCGGUCGUUCAAGUCGAGUGUGAAAGCCCCCGGCUCAACUGGGGAGGGUCACUCGAUACUGAUCGACUUGAAGGCGGGAGAGGGAAGCGGAAUUCCCGGUGUAGUGGUGAAAUGCGUAGAUAUCUGGAGGAACACCGGUGGCGAAGGCGGCAUUCUGGACCGAUAUUGACGCUGAGGAGCGAAAGCCAGGGGAGCAAACGGG